GAUGAACGCUGGCGGCGUGCUUAAUACAUGCAAGUCGAUCGAUGGAUGCCCAGCUUGCUGGGAGGAAAUAGAGGCGAACGGGUGAGUAAUACGUAAAGCAACCUGCCCACGGAGACCGGGAUAAUCCCUGGAAACGGGGACUAAGACCGGAUAGGUAACAGAACCGCAUGAUUUUGUUAUUAAAGGUUAAAACACUGGUGGAUGGGCUUACGGUGCAUUAGCUAGUUGGUGAGGUAGCGGCCCACCAAGGCGAUGAUGCAUAGCUGGUCUGAGAGGAUGAACAGCCACAUUGGGACUGAGACACGGCCCAGACUCCUACGGGAGGCAGCAGUAGGGAAUUUUCGGCAAUGGGGGAAACCCUGACCGAGCAAACGCCGCGUGAGUGAAGAAGGUCUUCGGAUUGUAAAGCUCUGUUGUAAGGGAGAAAUGUACUUUGAGAAAAAGUACUUGACGGUACCCUUACCCAGAAAGCUACGGCUAACUACGUGCCAAGCCGCCGCGGU
rnacentral:rRNA from 1 species